rnacentral:rRNA from 1 species
UCGCUCCUACCGAUUGAAUGAUCCGGCGAAAUCUUUGGACCGUCGCUGUGGGUCGGUUUUCCGACUUGCAGUGUAUGGGAAGUUGAUUAAACCUUAUCAUUUAGAGGAAGGAG